rnacentral:rRNA from 1 species
CCUACGGGAGGCAGCAGUGAGGAAUAUUGGUCAAUGGACGAGAGUCUGAACCAGCCAAGUAGCGUGAAGGAUGGCUGCCCUAUGGGUUGUAAACUUCUUUUAUAAAGGAAUAAAACGAGGCACGUGUGCCUUUGUGCAUGUACUUUAUGAAUAAGGAUCGGCUAACUCCGUGCCAGCAGCCGCGGGAAUACGGAGGAUCCGGACGUUAUCCGGAUUUUUUGUGUUUAAAGGGAGCGUAGAUGGGUUGUUAAGUCAGUUGUGAAAUUUUGCGGCUCCACCCUAAAAUUGCAAUUGAUACUGGCAGUCUUGAGUACAGUUGAGGUAAGCGGAAUUCGUGGUGUAGCGGUGAAAUGCUUAGAUAUCACGAAGAACCCCGAUUGCGAAGGCAGCUUACUAAACUGUAACUGACAUUGAUGCUCGAAAGUGUGGGUAUCAAACAGGAUUAGAUACCCCAGUAGUC